UUUGAUCCUGGCUCAGAACGAACGCUGGCGGCAUGCCUAACACAUGCAAGUCGAACGAGACCUUCGGGUCUAGUGGCGCACGGGUGCGUAACGCGUGGGAAUCUGCCCUCUGGUACGGAAUAACUCAGGGAAACUUGAGCUAAUACCGUAUAAUGACUCCGGUCCAAAGAUUUAUCGCCUGAGGAUGAGCCCGCGUAGGAUUAGCUAGUUGGUGAGGUAAAAGCUCACCAAGGCGACGAUCCUUAGCUGGUCUGAGAGGAUGAUCAGCCACACUGGGACUGAGACACGGCCCAGACUCCUACGGGAGGCAGCAGUGGGGAAUAUUGGACAAUGGGCGAAAGCCUGAUCCAGCAAUGCCGCGUGAGUGAUGAAGGCCUUAGGGUUGUAAAGCUCUUUUACCCGGGAUGAUAAUGACAGUACCGGGAGAAUAAGCCCCGGCUAACUCCGUGCCAGCAGCCGCGGUAAUACGGAGGGGGCUAGCGUUGUUCGGAAUUACUGGGCGUAAAGCGCACGUAGGCGGCUUUGUAAGUCAGAGGUGAAAGCCCGGGGCUCAACUCCGGAAUUGCCUUUAAGACUGCAUCGCUAGAAUUGUGGAGAGGUAAGUGGAAUUCCGAGUGUAGAGGUGAAAUUCGUAGAUAUUCGGAAGAACACCAGUGGCGAAGGCGACUUACUGGACACAUAUUGACGCUGA
rnacentral:rRNA from 1 species